rnacentral:rRNA from 1 species
AUGAGGAACUUUUGGUGGGGCAAUGAGGAAGAUAGGACAAAAACUCAUUGGCUUGCUUGGGAUAAAUUAACGAGACCUAAAGGUGAGGGUGGUAUGGGAUUCCGUGACCUCAGGUUAUUUAACCAAGCGCUUCUGACUAAGCAAGCUUGGCGGUUACUGGUUAAGCCGGAGUCAUUAUGUGCUAAGGUGAUGAAGGCAAGAUAUUAUCCUAAGGAGCAUCUUCUAGACAUGGUUUUUUCUCAGUCGGCAUCGGCGACUUGUCAAGGUAUUAUGCAUAGACUGGACCUGCUUAAAACUAAUGUCAUUUGGAGGAUGGUUGAUGGAGCGAGUAUCAAUAUUUGA